rnacentral:rRNA from 1 species
AGCGAAGUUCCUUGCCAGGUGAGUUCUGGCCCGCAUGAAUAGCGUAACGAGCUAAUAACUGUCUUGAGGAUUUACUCGGCGAAAUAGCGAUGGCUGUGAAGACGCGGCCUACUUCUACAUGGACAAAAAGACCCCGUGGAGCUUUACUGCAGGUAGAUAUUGCUUUCAUAUUUUUUGAUUGUCUAGAAUAGGUGGGAGCCGCAAGGCAACCGUGUAAUACCACUCGUUGAAAAAUGUGAAGCUUACUUAAUUCCGAUGAAUACUCGGAAGAGGAACGUGUUUGCCGGGCAGUUUUACUGGGGCGGUACCCUGCCAAAUUGUAACGCAGGGACACAAAGGUUGGCUUUCCGCCGAUGGAAAUGGCGGUUCAAAGCGUAAAGGUUUAAGCCAGCUUGACUGCGAGACCGACGGGUCGAGCAGGUACGAAAGUAGGUCUUAGUGAUCCUCCAAGGCAUAAUGGGUAUGCCUGGAGCUUAAUGGAUAAAAGCUACCCCGGGGAUAACAGAGUAGUCGCGCCCGAGCGUCCAUAGCGACGGCGCGGUUCGCUACCUCGAUGUCGGCUCAUCACAUCCUGGCGCUGAAGAAGGUGCCAAGGGUCGGUCUGUUCGCCCGUUAAAGUGAUACGCGAGCUGGGUUCAGAACGUAAACAACAUUGCGUUCGUCAUCAGUAAUGAUGUACAAUUUAACUGACUAAAAUCGGUGAAACCCGUAAGCAAAAUUCGUCCGAAUUUGCUGGGUAAUACCGAGGGUAAGCGGAAGAUUUGUAUGACCAACGAGGAGUUAAGUUAUAUUGCAGGAUUUUUAGAUGGAGACGGUUGCAUAAUGCUCCAACUUGUUUACCGGCACGAUUAUGUGUUCGGUUAUCAAAUUAGAGCAAGCAUUGUUUUCUAUCAAGAUGUUCGCAAUAAAUAUUUCCUGGAAUGGUUAAAAAAGAAACUGAAAUUUGGUUAUAUCAGAAAUCGAAAUGACGGCAUGAGUGAAUACACAAUUGUCGGAGUAGAGACGGUAAGCCAAGUUUUAAGACUUAUUAAACCUUAUUUAAAACUUAAAAAGAGGCAGAUUAGUCUUGCCUUAAGAGUUUUGAAGCAAAUGCCAGGAAGUGGAAAUAAAUUAACUCCCAAGAAAUUAUUGAGACUUUCAAGAUUGGUUGAUGGUUUUUCUGAUUUGAAUUAUUCGAAAAAGAGAACCAACACAAGUGCGAAAGUUGAAGAGUUUUUAAAGUCACACCAUCUUCUUUGAUCCCGUAGAGACUUGUAGUUUCAAGACUACAGAUACCAAUAACAUUGGUAUAAGACGUCAGCUCCUAAAAUGUGUGCAAGUUUAACUUUAGGAUGAAGAUAUAGUCCAUACAACCAGAAACGGUUGAUCAAUAUGCGUGAGACAGUUCGGACUCUAUCCUGUAGAAGCGUUGGAAUCUUGAGGAGAGCUGGGGACAGUAAGUAUUGCUGCCUUGAUAAGUAAUUAUUGAGGUCACACUAGCUAAAAUCGGUGGAAUCCUGUGCCAUUUUUAUGAUGGUCCUAUCUAAGUACAGGGCAAUACCGAGGGAAGGUUUAAAUACCCCCGUAACGACUUAGUCCGGUGCAACAUCGGACUGGAUGGAUUGGUAUCCAUAAUAACGCUAGCACCCGUGAGAUACGAAAUUAUCUAACUGGUUGAAGGUAUAGUCUAAUCCCUUUAGUAAUAAAGGAGUGAUUGACGAGAGGACCUCCCUGGAGGAAUCCCUGGUGUGCCGGUUAUUGCGUCAGCAGUAACGCCGGGUAGCUAUAUUCCUAACGGAUAACCGCU